UUUGCUGCUGCUGCUGCUGCU
rnacentral:misc_RNA from 1 species